CAUGUCAGUGAGGGGGACCCAGAAUUUAGAAAAAGUGCAAACAUCAGGUGGCGCUAUACAGAUAGAGUUCAGUGAAUAACUCAGUGGCUAUACUAACAUUUUAAUCACAUGCAACCACAAAAGUAUCCAGAUCCAGGUGCUGGUUUCAAA